UACGGGGGGGGCAAGCGUUGUUCGGAAUUACUGGGCGUAAAGCGCACGUAGGCGGCUUUGUAAGUUAGAGGUGAAAGCCCGGGGCUCAACUCCGGAAUUGCCUUUAAGACUGCAUCGCUAGAAUUGUGGAGAGGUAAGUGGAAUUCCGAGUGUAGAGGUGAAAUUCGUAGAUAUUCGGAAGAACACCAGUGGCGAAGGCGAGUCCCUGGACAACUCCUGACACUGAGGCACGAAAGCUAGGGGAGCAAACAGG
rnacentral:rRNA from 1 species